GCACGCACGCCCCACCGAAGCUGCAAACACAGAUCUUAUCUGUGAACUUGCUAAAUGGCUACAGCAUCAUUUUCCACCAAGGCGCCUCCGGAUAUUACUCAUUUGCGGGACUUUCACACAUAGAUUGCAGAGGUGUUUUCCACGAAGGACUGCUUUUCAUUUAGGAGAGGCUGUGGAGGUAGAGACUCGGGGGCUGUGGUGCUCUGCCCUUACAGCGUGGACCACACAGGACACGACGCUGCUAGGCUUCACCUUGUCACGACAGCCCUCUCCGGGGAUGGCUGAGGUGGGAUGGCUCAUCACAUGACCGUCGACCAAAAACUCAUCUUCCAUGCCAUUCCUUCCA